rnacentral:rRNA from 1 species
ACUCCUAGCUUGACUAUGGGACUAAUCUAUACAAACAUAGAAGCAACACUGUUAAUAUGAGUAACAAGAAAUUUUUCUCCUCGCACAAGCUUAUUUCAGUAGCUGAUAGUAUACUGAUAGUUAACAACUAAAAAAUAAAACCCAACACUAAACUAUUUAUUAAUAUACUGUUAACCCAACACAGGUGUGCAUUAAGGAAAGAUUAAAAAAAGUAAAAGGAACUCGGCAAAUAUAAACCCCGCCUGUUUACCAAAAACAUCACCUCUAGCAUAACUAGUAUUAGAGGCACUGCCUGCCCAGUGACAAUAGUUAAACGGCCGCGGUAUCCUGACCGUGCAAAGGUAGCAUAAUCAUUUGUUCUUUAAAUAAGGACUUGUAUGAAUGGCCACACGAGGGUUUUACUGUCUCUUACUUUUAAUCAGUGAAAUUGACCUCCCCGUGAAAAGGCGGGGAUAAUAAAAUAAGACGAGAAGACCCUAUGGAGCUUUAAUUAACCAACCCAAAAAAUCUUAAAUCUUAACCCCCAAGGAAUAACAAAACUUUAUAUGGGUUGACAAUUUCGGUUGGGGUGACCUCGGAGUAUAAAAAAACCUCCGAAUGAUUAAAACUUAGGCCUACCAGCCAAAGUAUCAUAUCACUUAUUGAUCCAAAAUUUUUUGAUCAACGGAACAAGUUACCCUAGGGAUAACAGCGCAAUCCUAUUCUAGAGUCCAUAUCGACAAUAGGGUUUACGACCUCGAUGUUGGAUCAGGACAUCCUAAUGGUGUAGCCGCU